rnacentral:rRNA from 1 species
GUCAUAUGCUUGUCAGAAGGAUUAAGCCAUGCAUGUCUAAGUAUAAACUAAUUAUACGGUGAAACUGCGAAUGGCUCAUUAAAUCAGUUAUAGUCUACUUGAUCGUACCAAUUUUUCUUACUUGGAUAACCGUAGGAAAUCUAGGGCUAAUACAUGCUAAAAACGCUGACUAUCAGGGGGGGGAAACUCUUGGUUCGGAAGGCGUGAAUUUAUUAGAUUAAAAACCAAUGUGGGGUUCGCUCCACUUUUUCCCUAGACGAUUCAUGAUAACGCAUCGAAUCGCAGCUGUAGGCCGCGAUGUUACAUACGAAUUUCUGCCCUAUCAACUUUCGAUGGUUGGAUAGAGGCCAACCAUGGUAGUAACGGGUAACGGAGAAUUAGGGUUCGAUUCCGGAGAUGGAGCCUGAGAGAUGGCUACAACUUCCACGGAAGGCAGCAGGCGCGCAAAUUACCCAAUCCCGAUACGGGGAGGUAGUGACAUGAAAUACCGAUGCACGGCUCGAAUAGAGUCGUGACGUUGGAAUGAGUACAAUUUAAACCCCUUAACAAGGAACAAUUGGAGGGCAAGUCUGGUGCCAGCAGCCGCGGUAAUUCCAGCUCCAAUAGCGUAUAUGAAAGUUGUUGCAGUUAAAAAGCUCGUAGUUGGAUUUCGGAUUGGUGGAGGAUGUGGUCGACCGAAAAGAGUUUGUACUGCACUCCAUUGUCCUACCUUGGGGAUAAAAGAGGUUGGAGAGGGGUUGGGAUCGGCUUUAACGGUUUCACUCUGCUCCUUCUUCUCCCCAUCUUUUACUUUGAGAAAAUUAGAGUGUUCAAAGCAGGCGUAACUCCGAGCCUUUGAAUACUUUAGCAUGGGAUAAUAGAAUAGGACGAAAGUCUUAUUUUGUUGGUUUCUAGGGCUUUUGUAAUGAUUAAAAGGGACAGUUGGGGGCAUUUGUAUUCAGUUGUCAGAGGUGAAAUUCUAGGAUUAACUGAAGACAAACUAAUGCGAAAGCAUUUGCCAAGGAUGUUUUCAUUAAUCAAGAACGAAAGUAGGGGGAUCGAAGAUGAUCAGAUACCGUCGUAGUCUCUACCAUAAACUAUGCCGACCAAGGAUUCGGAGAAGUUACGUGGAUGACUCCCCGAGCACUUUGUUGAGAAAUCAUUAAGUUGUUGGGUUCUGGGGGGAGUAUGGUCGCAAGGCUGAAACUUAAAGGAAUUGACGGAAGGACACCACCAGGCGUGGAACCUGCGGCUUAAUUUGACUCAACACGGGGAAACUUACCAGGUCCAGACACAAGAAGGAUUGACAGAUUGAGAGCUCUUUCUUGAUUUUGUGGGUGGUGGUGCAUGGCCGUUCUUAGUUGGUGGUGUGAACUGUCUGGUUAAUUCCGUUAACGAACGAGACCUUAACCUGCUAAAUAGGUGGUGAGUAAUAGAAAUAUUACUCAUUGUCAAUUGAACACUUCUUAGAGGGACUAUUGGUUCUUGUUAAACCAAUGGAAGCUUAAGGCAAUAACAGGUCUGUGAUGCCCUUAGAUGUUCUGGGCCGCACGCGCGUUACAAUGAUGAUAUCAACGAGUUUUGUAUUGUUCCUUACCUGGAAAGGUAUGGGUAAUCUUAUUAAAUGUCAUCGUGCUGGGGAUUGAUGCUUGUAAUUAUUCAUCAUGAACCAGGAAUGCCUAGUAAGCGCAUGUCAUCAUCAUGUGCUGAUUACGUCCCUGUCCUUUGUACACACCGCCCGUCGCUCCUACCGAUUGAAUGGUCCGGUGAGAUCUUUGGAUGAUGAGGAUGUUAAGACUUUGCCGAAAGGUAUGGGUCUUAAGCUUUGUCAGAAAUCGAUCAAACCUUACCAUUUAGAGGAAGGAGAAGUCGUAACAAGGUAUCCGUACCUGAA